CCUACGGGUGACAGCAGUGGGGGAUAUUGCACAAUGGGGGGAACCCUGAUGCAGCGACGCCGCGUGGGUGAAGAAGCGCCUCGGCGCGUAAAGCCCUGUCAGCAGGGAAGAAAAUGACGGUACCUGAAGAAGAAGCCCCGGCUAACUACGUGCCAGCAGCCGCGGUAAUACGUAGGGGGCAAGCGUUAUCCGGAUUUACUGGGUGGAAAGGGGGCGCAGACGGCGAGGCAAGCCAGGCGUGAAAGCCCGGGGCCCAACCCCGGGACUGCUCUUGGAACUGCGUGGCUGGAGUGCAGGAGGGGCAGGCGGAAUUCCUGGUGUAGCGGUGAAAUGCGUAGAUAUCAGGAGGAACACCGGUGGCGAAGGCGGCCUGCUGGACUGCAACUGACGUUGAGGAGCGAAAGCGUGGGGAGCAAACAGGAUUAGAUACCCCUGUAGUC
rnacentral:rRNA from 1 species